rnacentral:tRNA from 1 species
GCCUCCGUAGCUCAGUGGAUAGAGCGACUUCCUCCUAAGAAGUAGGUCGCACGUUCGAUUCGUGUCGGAGGCG